AGUGAACGCUGGCGGUAGGCCUAACACAUGCAGGUCGAACGGCAGCACAGUAAGAGCUUGCUCUUACGGGUGGCGAGUGGCGGACGGGUGAGGAAUACAUCGGAAUCUACUUUUUCGUGGGGGAUAACGUAGGGAAACUUACGCUAAUACCGCAUACGACCUACGGGUGAAAGCAGGGGAUCUUCGGACCUUGCGCGAUUGAAUGAGCCGAUGUCGGAUUAGCUAGUUGGCGGGGUAAAGGCCCACCAAGGCGACGAUCCGUAGCUGGUCUGAGAGGAUGAUCAGCCACACUGGAACUAAGACACGGUCCAGACUCCUACGGGAGGCAGCAGUGGGGAAUAUUGGACAAUGGGCGCAAGCCUGAUCCAGCCAUACCGCGUGGGUGAAGAAGGCCUUCGGGUUGUAAAGCCCUUUUGUUGGGAAAGAAAAGCAGCAGGUUAAUACCCCGCUGUUCUGACGGUACCCAAAGAAUAAGCACCGGCUAACUUCGUG
rnacentral:rRNA from 1 species